rnacentral:rRNA from 1 species
ACGAACGCUGGCGGCGUGCCUAAUACAUGCAAGUCGAACGGUCUUUCUAUGGAAGCUUGCUUCCACUGAGAAGAUAGUGGCGAACGGGUGAGUAACACGUGGGUAACCUGCCCAUAAGAGGGGGAUAACAUCCGGAAACGGGUGCUAAUACCGCAUAGUUUUCUUGAUCGCAUGAUUGGGAAAGGAAAGACGGCCUUUGUGCUGUCGCUUAUGGAUGGACCCGCGGCGUAUUAGUUAGUUGGUGAGGUAACGGCUCACCAAGACGAUGAUACGUAGCCGACCUGAGAGGGUGAUCGGCCACGUUGGGACUGAGACACGGCCCAAACUCCUACGGGAGGCAGCAGUAGGGAAUCUUCCGCAAUGGACGAAAGUCUGACGGAGCAACGCCGCGUGAGUGAAAGAAGGUUUUCGGAUCGUAAAACUCUGUUGUCAGAGAAGAACAAGUUGGAGAGUAACUGCUCCAGCCUUGACGGUAUCUGACCAGAAAGCCACGGCUAACUACGUGCCAGCCGCCGC